rnacentral:rRNA from 1 species
UACAGGGGGUGCAAACGUUGCUCGGAAUCAUUGGGCGUAAAGCGCACGUAGGCGGUUCGUUAUGUCGGAUGUGAAAGCCCUUGGCUUAACCGAGGAAGUGCAUCCGAAACUGGCGAGCUAGAGUACGAAAGAGGAUCGCGGAAUUCCCGGUGUAGAGGUGAAAUUCGUAGAUAUCGGGAGGAACACCGGUGGCGAAGGCGGCUCUCUGGACAGGUACUGACGCUGAGACGCGAAAGCGUGGGUAGCAAACAGG